rnacentral:snRNA from 1 species
GUCUGAUGUAUGGCAUGUGAUAGCAUAAAUCUUUCGCCUUUUACUAAAGAUUUCCGUGGGGUAUACAAUUUUUGUAUUACUUUUUUAAAAAAUAUUUUAUCAUUUUU